AUUGAACGCUGGCGGCAUGCCUUACACAUGCAAGUCGAACGGUAGAGUAGCAAUACUUGAGAGUGGCGAACGGGUGAGUAAUAUAUCGGAACGUGCCCAGUCGUGGGGGAUAACGUAGAGAAAUUUACGCUAAUACCGCAUACGAUCUAAGGAUGAAAGCGGGGGAUUCGCAAGAACCUCGCGCGAUUGGAGCGGCUGAUAUCAGAUUAGGUUGUUGGUGAGGUAAAAGCUCACCAAGCCGACGAUCUGUAGCUGGUUUGAGAGAACGACCAGCCACACUGGGACUGAGACACGGCCCAGACUCCUACGGGAGGCAGCAGUGGGGAAUUUUGGGACAAUGGGCGAAAGCCUGAUCCAGCAAUGCCGCGUGCAGGAAGAAGGCCU
rnacentral:rRNA from 1 species